UGGGGAAUAUUGCGCAAUGGGGGGAACCCUGACGCAGCCAUGCCGCGUGAAUGAAGAAGGCCUUAGGGUUGUAAAGUUCUUUCGGUAUUGAGGAAGGUUGAUGUGUUAAUAGCACAUCAAAUUGACGUUAAAUACAGAAGAAGCACCGGCUAACUCCGUGCCAGCAGCCGCGGUAAUACGGAGGGUGCGAGCGUUAAUCGGAAUAACUGGGCGUAAAGGGCACGCAGGCGGUUAUUUAAGUGAGGUGUGAAAGCCCCGGGCUUAACCUGGGAAUUGCAUUUCAGACUGGGUAACUAGAGUACUUUAGGGAGGGGUAGAAUUCCACGUGUAGCGGUGAAAUGCGUAGAGAUGUGGAGGAAUACCGAAGGCGAAGGCAGCCCCUUGGGAAUGUACUGACGCUCAUGUGCGAAAGCGUGGGGAGCAAACAGGAUUAGAUACCCUGGUAGUCCACGCUGUAAACGCUGUCGAUUUGGGGGUUGGGGUUUAACUCUGGCGCCCGUAGCUAACGUGAUAAAUCGACCGCCUGGGGAGUACGGCCGUAAGGUUA
rnacentral:rRNA from 1 species